rnacentral:rRNA from 1 species
GUGGGGAAUAUUGGACAAUGGGGGGAACCCUGAUCCAGCCAUGCCGCGUGUGUGAAGAAGGCCUUUUGGUUGUAAAGCACUUUAAGCGAGGAGGAGGCUACCGAGAUUAAUACUCUUGGAUAGUGGACGUUACUCGCAGAAUAAGCACCAGCUAACUCUGUGCCAGCAGCCGCGGUAAUACAGAGGGUGCAAGCGUUAAUCGGAUUUACUGGGCGUAAAGCGCGCGUAGGUGGCCAAUUAAGUCAAAUGUGAAAUCCCCGAGCUUAACUUGGUAAUUGCAUUCGAUACUGAUUGGCUAGAGUAUGGGAGAGGAUGGUAGAAUUCCAGGUGUAGCGGUGAAAUGCGUAGAGAUCUGGAGGAAUACCGAUGGCGAAGGCAGCCAUCUGGCCUAAUACUGACACUGAGGUGCGAAAGCAUGGGGAGCAAACAGGAUUAGAAACCCCAGUAGUCC